rnacentral:misc_RNA from 1 species
UCCCCGUUACCGGGGCAGUUCAAGUAGAAAAAUACAACUACUUGCAAGGGUUGCGCUCGUUGAUGGACUUAACCAAACAUCUCACGACACGAGCUGACGACGGCCAUGCAGCACCUGUCACUUGGCUCAAUAAAGCACUCUUGCCUUUCGGCAAAAUUCCAAGGAUGUCAAACCCUGGUAAGGUUCUUCGUUUAUCAUCGAAUUAAAGAACACGCUCCACCGCUUGUGCGGGUCCCCGUCAAUUCCUUUAUGUUUUAGUCUUGCGACCGUACUCCACAGGCGGGAUACUUAACGCGUUAGCUUCGCUACUGAAGGGGUCGAUACCUCCAACAGCUAGUAUCCAUCGUUUACGGCGUGGACUAC